rnacentral:rRNA from 1 species
UGGGGAAUUUUGGACAAUGGGCGAAAGCCUGAUCCAGCAAUGCCGCGUGUGUGAAGAAGGCCUUCGGGUUGUAAAGCACUUUUGUCCGGAAAGAAAUCCUUGGCUCUAAUACAGUCCGGGGGAUGACGGUACCGGAAGAAUAAGCACCGGCUAACUACGUGCCAGCAGCCGCGGUAAUACGUAGGGUGCAAGCGUUAAUCGGAAUUACUGGGCGUAAAGCGUGCGCAGGCGGUUUGCUAAGACCGAUGUGAAAAUCCCCGGGGCUAAACCUGGGGAACUGCAUUGGUGACUGGCAGGCUAGAGUAUGGCAGAGGGGGGUAGAAUUCCACGUGUAGCAGUGAAAUGCGUAGAGAUGUGGAGGAAUACGAUGGCGAAGGCAGCCCCCUGGGCCAAUACUGACGCUCAUGCACG